rnacentral:rRNA from 1 species
GAUGAACGCUGGCGGCGUGCCUAAUACAUGCAAGUCGAGCGAACAGACGAGGAGCUUGCUCCUCUGACGUUAGCGGCGGACGGGUGAGUAACACGUGGAUAACCUACCUAUAAGACUGGGAUAACUUCGGGAAACCGGAGCUAAUACCGGAUAAUAUAUUGAACCGCAUGGUUCAAUAGUGAAAGACGGUUUUGCUGUCACUUAUAGAUGGAUCCGCGCCGCAUUAGCUAGUUGGUAAGGUAACGGCUUACCAAGGCGACGAUGCGUAGCCGACCUGAGAGGGGGAUCGGCCACACUGGAACUGAGACACGGUCCAGACUACUACGGGAGGCAGCAGUAGGGAAUCUUCCGCAGUGGGCGAAAGCCUGACGGAGCAGCGCCGCGUGAGUGAUGAAGGUCUUCGGAGCGUAAAACUCUGUUAUGAGGGAAGAACAAAUGUGUAAGUAACUAUGCACGGCUUGACGGUACCUAAUCAGAAAGCCACGGCUAACUACGUG